rnacentral:rRNA from 1 species
UACAGAGGGGGCAAGCGUUAUUCGGAAUUAUUGGGCGUAAAGGGCGCGUAGGCGGCUUGGCAAGUGGAUGGUGAAAUCCCUCGGCUUAACCGAGGAACUGCCGUCCAAACUGCUUCGCUUGAGACCGGGAGAGGUGAGUGGAAUUCCCAGUGUAGCGGUGAAAUGCGUAGAUAUUGGGAGGAACACCAGUGGCGAAGGCGGCUCACUGGCCCGGUACUGACGCUGAUGCGCGAAAGCGUGGGGAGCAAACGGG